UUCAGAGGGCUGGUUUCAGCCAAGCAAGCAGUCGAUUGGCCUCUACAGGGAGGAAUUCUUUACUAAUUCAAACCGUAAUAUUUUCCUCCUAGGUGAGUAUGCUGGCUUUGACGAGACCCAGCCCACAUCUGAGAGUAAUGGGAAGGGGAAGGUGAUCAGCAUGCUCAAGGAGAAGCACGGCUUCAAGAACAUGGUGAUGAUUGGCGAUGGAGCCACAGACCUGGAGGCCUGUCCCCCUGCAAAUGCAUUCAUUGGAUUUGGUGGAAAUGUGGUCAGGCAGCAAGUAAAGGAGAAAAGUUUGUGGUACGUCACAAGUUUUGGAGAGUUGCUAAAAGAACUGGAGAAGAUUUAAAGAAAUACCAUACAAACCUGAAACCUCUUACAACUAUUGUUACUAAUGCUAACAUCAGUGUUUUAUUUUCACCUAAUGGUGUGCCUUUUAUGGUUUUAUCCAGCGCACACUUUUUUUUCUUCCUCCAGUCAAUAGAUUUAAAAAAAAAAAAAAAAAAUGUAUUAGAAUGUUUCCACAACAAUAGUGUCUUCUUGGGUUUGACCCUUGUUGAUUUUUCUACUAGAGAAUAUAAUUUUUUAAAAAAAAUCAGGUUAACCAAAUGUUAUUCUUUUUGGAGGGAUUUGAGCAGGGUUGGAGUCAAUUCCAUUUCAAUUCAGUAUUUGUUUAAUUCCAGAAUUUAUUGAAUUGACCCCAAUCCUGGAUGUUUUUAAACUGCACUUUUGUGGUUUUGUCCUCAUUUCAAUGCUUUAGUGGUCAGGAUAAUACAACUACUGCAUUUUACAAUAUGUGCCAUCAAAUGUGCAUUUAUACAUGUUUUAAAUUUGCUAUUGACACUAAUAAUAGUUAAAGUGUAAAAUGCA